rnacentral:rRNA from 1 species
GAUGAACGCUGGCGGCGUGCUUAACACAUGCAAGUCGAACGAGGCAUUUGCGACAGAUUUUUUCGGAAUGAAGUUGCUUAUGACUGAGUGGCGGACGGGUGAGUAACGCGUGGGUAACCUGCCUUGUACUGGGGGAUAGCAGCUGGAAACGGCUGGUAAUACCGCAUAAGCGCACAAUGUUGCAUGACAUGGUGUGAAAAACUCCGGUGGUAUAAGAUGGACCCGCGUCUGAUUAGCUAGUUGGUGAGAUAACAGCCCACCAAGGCGACGAUCAGUAGCCGACCUGAGAGGGUGACCGGCCACAUUGGGACUGAGACACGGCCCAGACUCCUACGGGAGGCAGCAGUGGGGAAUAUUGCACAAUGGAGGAAACUCUGAUGCAGCGACGCCGCGUGAGUGAAGAAGUAAUUCGUUAUGUAAAGCUCUAGCAGCAGGGAAGAUAGUGACGGUACCUGACUAAGAAGCUCCGGCUAAAUACGU